AGUGAACGCUGGCGGUAGGCCUAACACAUGCAAGUCGAACGGCAGCACAGUAAGAGCUUGCUCUUACGGGUGGCGAGUGGCGGACGGGUGAGGAAUACAUCGGAAUCUCCUUUUUCGUGGGGGUUAACGUAGGGAAACUUACGCUAAUACCGCAUACGACCUACGGGUGAAAGCAGGGGAUCUUCGGACCUUGCGCGAUUGAAUGAGCCGAUGUCGGAUUAGCUAGUUGGCGGGGUAAAGGCCCACCAAGGCGACGAUCCGUAGCUGGUCUGAGAGGAUGAUCAGCCACACUGGAACUGAGACACGGUCCAGACUCCUACGGGAGGCAGCAGUGGGGAAUAUUGGACAGUGGGCGCAAGCCUGAUCCAGCCAUACCGCGUGGGUGAAGAAGGCCUUCGGGUUGUAAAGCCCUUUUGUUGGGAAAGAAAAGCAGCAGGUUAAUACCCCGCUGUUCUGACGGUACCCAAAGAAUAAGCACCGGCUAACUUCGU
rnacentral:rRNA from 1 species